GACGUAGGUGGCGAACGUUAUCCGGAAUUAUUGGGCGUAAAGGGUGCGUAGGUGGCCUGACAAGUUAUCAGUGGCAAAUCGAGGCUCAACCUCGUGGAAACUGGUAAUACUGUCCGGCUUGAGUGCAGGAGAGGUUAACGGAACUCUAUGUGGAGGGGUAAAAUCCAUAGAUAUAUAGAUGAACAUCAAUAAAGGCGAAGGCAGUUAACUAUUCCAUUUCUGACGUUGAGGCAUGAAAGCGUGGGGAGCAAACCGG
rnacentral:rRNA from 1 species